GUUCUGGGCACAUUACUUUAUAUAAGAAACACCCCAAAUACCCAAAUUAUUCAUCAGUUUUUUUCUGGGGAAAAACAAAAAUUUCAUCAUCGUAAUGUGUCCUUUAAGAUUCAUCUUGGUAUUUUUUUCGGCAUUGUUGGCUGGUUAUUUAGCUUGGAGAACGGUUCGUUCUUCCGAUGAUCUAGAUUUCGCAAAUCCCGAUGAUGAAACAACGAAAAGCAAAUCGGAGGAAGAGAGACGAGAAUCUGAUUCUGGUGAGGUGAAAUUUCACAAGUUUCAGAAGAUUCAAAACGGAUUUUGGGUUUUUGUGGAUAUGGCAAGUGGGAAAUAUUUAUGGCGAAAUCUAAAGUCGAUGAACAAUGUUGUUGACAAGACAAAUUAGGAGCUCAUUGAAUCUUGUGGCGGCUGUGGAUGAAUUGAAUUGCAUUAAAGUUUAUCUUGUUUUUAUUUGUAGAUUAAUAGAAUGUAUAUUAAGGGUUUCUCUUCCUCUUUUAUCUUUUGGUGUAUUAUGCAGAUCCAAAUUUAAUGGAAAUCUGUUUUCU
rnacentral:misc_RNA from 1 species